AGAUGAACUCCUUUGAUGAAAACAGACAAAUAGAACUUUCUGUGACACUAGAAUCUUAUCAUCCGUCCUCAAGUUGGACACGAUUUGCAGAAGGAAUCAUGUUCAACUUGGCUGAGAUUUUCUGGAGACGAUGCGCAGCAACUGCUUUUGUGAGGAUGUCACCGAGUUGAUCAUCAGUGUUAAGCUUGAUUGUCACAAUGAAGGGUCAUGGGGAGUGCAACUGGGAACUUUAGUUCUUGAAACAAACUAUGAAGCCAUGUGAGCUCACUAGUCGUUGUUGCAACUGCCAUGUAUUAUGCUUCUGCUGAGGACUUAGAAACCGUGUGUUGUUUCUUGGAUUUCCAUGAAAUGAGCGAAUCUCCCAAUUUGACACAAAAUCUAGUCACAGACCUUUUGGUAUCAAUACAUGAGGCCCAAUCAGCAUCAAAAUAGGCUUGAACCUGUAAUAUAUCAGACCUAGAAUUUGCUGUAUCAACGCAUGAUGUCCAAUUGGCAUCAGCAUAGGCUUGAACCUGCCAUUGGUUAGUGCUAGGAUAAAAUAGGACUUUAUCAAUAGUACCUUUGAGAUAUCUAAUGACUCUGUUUGCCGCCUUUAAAUGUUGUGGUAGGUUUAUUCAUGAAUUGGCUCAAGCUAUUAACCGUAUAAGUAAUAUUUGGUCUUGUUAUGCUCAAA